ACUCCAGUCAACAGACCAGGCUGAACUCCCAGGAAAUGCUAGUACCACUCAUCAUUAAUGGAGCUCUUCCUCUGGUAACUGAGCUCAUAUUAAUUGUCUGAAGAAGACAGUUUCUGAAGAUGUGUGCCAUGAUGGCUGCUGAAGCUUCUACUCCAGAUCUGAAGAGCAAGCAGUGCUCAGGAGGCCCCCCAACACUUCCAUCUCUGCUCGAGUACCUUCUUGGAGCUCCAGAAAAAAGUAACACUGGAUCUUCAGAGAGGGACACCAAAACAAGAGUGAGAAGCUCUUCCUAG
rnacentral:lncRNA from 1 species